GAACGCUGGCGGCGUGCUUAACACAUGCAAGUCGAACGGAAAGGCCCUUCGGGGUACUCGAGUGGCGAACGGGUGAGUAACACGUGGGUGAUCUGCCCUGCACUUUGGGAUAAGCCUGGGAAACUGGGUCUAAUACCGAAUAGGACCACGCGCUUCAUGGUGUGUGGUGGAAAGCUUUUGCGGUGUGGGAUGGGCCCGCGGCCUAUCAGCUUGUUGGUGGGGUAAUGGCCUACCAAGGCGACGACGGGUAGCCGGCCUGAGAGGGUGACCGGCCACACUGGGACUGAGAUACGGCCCAGACUCCUACGGGAGGCAGCAGUGGGGAAUAUUGCACAAUGGGCGCAAGCCUGAUGCAGCGACGCCGCGUGAGGGAUGACGGCCUUCGGGUUGUAAACCUCUUUCAAUAGGGACGAAGCGCAAGUGACGGUACCUAUAGAAGAAGCACCGGCCAACUACGUG
rnacentral:rRNA from 1 species